GGCAUAUCUUACACACAGAGAUACUGACUGCUUUUUUUUCUGGACUACCUUUUGAAGGAUUAUUGUACAGUAAACAGCCUUAAAAGACAGAGAUAGUGUUUUCCUCUGGAGUGAAGUGAAGGCAUGUUUACUGCUUAUUUUUAAAAAUUCAGGUUCCCGGGGCGCCUGGGUGGCUCAGUCAGUUAAGCGUCCGACUUCAGCUCAGGUCACGAUCUCACGGUCUGUGAGUCCGUGAGUUCGAGCCCCACGUCGGGCUCUGGGCUGAUGGCUCAGAGCCUGGAGCCUGCUUCCGAUUCUGUGUCUCCCUCUCUCUCUGCCCCUCCCCCGUUCAU